rnacentral:tRNA from 1 species
CCGGGUGUAGCCCAGUUGGCAGGGCGCGUGGUUUGGGACCACGAGGCCGCGAGUUCAAGUCUCGCCACUCGGACCA